rnacentral:rRNA from 2 species
UGCAGUCGAACGAUGAAGCCCUUCGGGGUGGAUUAGUGGCGAACGGGUGAGUAACACGUGGGCAAUCUGCCCUUCACUCUGGGACAAGCCCUGGAAACGGGGUCUAAUACCGGAUAACACCUGCCCGGGCAUCCGGGUGGGUUAAAAGCUCCGGCGGUGAAGGAUGAGCCCGCGGCCUAUCAGCUUGUUGGUGAGGUAGUGGCUCACCAAGGCGACGACGGGUAGCCGGCCUGAGAGGGCGACCGGCCACACUGGGACUGAGACACGGCCCAGACUCCUACGGGAGGCAGCAGUGGGGAAUAUUGCACAAUGGGCGAAAGCCUGAUGCAGCGACGCCGCGUGAGGGAUGACGGCCUUCGGGUUGUAAACCUCUUUCAGCAGGGAAGAAGCGAAAGUGACGGUACCUGCAGAAGAAGCGCCGGCUAACUACGUGCCAGCAGCCGCGGUAAUACGUAGGGCGCAAGCGUUGUCCGGAAUUAUUGGGCGUAAAGAGCUCGUAGGCGGCUUGUCACGUCGGGUGUGAAAGCCCGGGGCUUAACCCCGGGUCUGCAUUCGAUACGGGCUAGCUAGAGUGUGGUAGGGGAGAUCGGAAUUCCUGGUGUAGCGGUGAAAUGCGCAGAUAUCA